rnacentral:rRNA from 1 species
CGCGCAGGCGGCGUCGUAAGUCGGUCUUAAAAGUGCGGGGCUUAACCCCGUGAGGGGACCGAAACUGCGAUGCUAGAGUAUCGGAGAGGAAAGCGAAAUUCCUAGUGUAGCGGUGAAAUGCGUAGAUAUUAGGAGGAACACCAGUGGCGAAAGCGGCUUUCUGGACGACAACUGACGCUGAGGCGCGAAAGCCAGGGGAGCAAACG